rnacentral:rRNA from 1 species
UCUUUUGGAGAGUUUGAUCCUGGCUCAGGACGAACGCUGGCGGCGUGCCUAAUACAUGCAAGUCGAGCGGACCGAAUAGAAGCUUGCUUCUGUUUGGUUAGCGGCGGACGGGUGAGUAACACGUGGGUAACCUGCCCGUAAGACGGGGAUAACUUCGGGAAACCGGAGCUAAUACCCGAUAAGUCUAAAGACCGCAUGGUCUUUAGUUGAAAGGCGGCUUCGGCUGUCACUUACGGAUGGGCCCGCGGCGCAUUAGCUAGUUGGUGAGGUAACGGCUCACCAAGGCGACGAUGCGUAGCCGACCUGAGAGGGUGAUCGGCCACACUGGGACUGAGACACGGCCCAGACUCCUACGGGAG